rfam:Mollicutes bacterium HR2 KQ78_contig000022, whole genome shotgun sequence.
UCUGGUGACUAUGGCGAAGUGGACACACCUGUUCCCAUACCGAACACAGCAGUUAAGCACUUUAGCGCCGAUGGUAGUACAUUGUGCGAGAGUAGGACGUUGCCAGGC